UUUUUUACUUUUUUGCUAUUUUUCCUUGCAAGUACGGAGGCCGUACAGUGGUGACGUGGAAGAGAUGCGUGGCUGGUGGCUGGAGGUGCGGUAGUUGUGGUUUGGAUGUUGUUAGGGUUUUUUGUUUUUUUUUCUCUGAAUAUGUUGUGGGCUGGGUUAUAUUGGGCUAGGGUAAUUUAAUUUGGGUUAGGUUUUGUGAUUGGGCCAAUUAGGUUUGGGCUUUGGCUUUUAUUUUUGGUUUUGUUUGGUUUUUUACCCAGGCAAAUUGAGCCUAUUACAAUACAAAGCAAAGAUGAAGACUUCUAUCUCCAAAUUGAUCUAAAUACACAUGGAAGAUUGAAAAUAUUAUUUUGAUCCAUCUUU
rnacentral:lncRNA from 1 species